GAGGGUGCAGCUCAGUGGUAGAGCACAUGCAUAGUGGGCACGAGAUCCUGGGUUCAAUCCCCAGUGCCUCCA
rnacentral:tRNA from 1 species